rnacentral:rRNA from 1 species
GACGGAGGGCGUGGGUGUUAUUCGUUUUGAUUGGGUGUAAAGGGUACGUAGGCGGCCCCCAGAUUUUUGGCGUAAAUAGCGGAGUGUUCCUACGCAAUAGCCUUUGAAUAGAAGGGGGCUCGAGUUGUCGAUAGGUGGGACCAAAUCCUCAAGUAAAGGUAGAAUUUUGCAAUAUGAGGAUGAAGGCCAGCCAGCGAAGGCGUCUCUCUCGCUUCAACUGACGCUAAGGUACGGAAGCCUAGGUAGCAAACAGG